rnacentral:rRNA from 1 species
UACGGAGGGGGCUAGCGUUGUUCGGAAUUACUGGGCGUAAAGCGCACGUAGGCGGCUUUUGUAAGUUAGAGGUGAAAGCCCAGGGCUUAACCCUGGAAUUGCCUUUAAGACUGCAUCGCUAGAAUCGUGGAGAGGUGAGUGGAAUUCCGAGUGUAGAGGUGAAAUUCGUAGAUAUUCGGAAGAACACCAGUGGCGAAGGCGACUCACUGGACACGUAUUGACGCUGAGGUGCGAAAGCGUGGGGAGCAAACAGG